AGCGAACGCUGGCGGCAGGCCUAACACAUGCAAGUCGAACGAAGUCUUCGGACUUAGUGGCGGACGGGUGAGUAACACGUGGGAACGUACCUUUUGGUUCGGAACAACUCAGGGAAACUUGAGCUAAUACCGGAUGAGCCCUUAGGGGGAAAGAUUUAUCGCCGAAAGAGCGGCCCGCGUUGGAUUAGCUAGUUGGUGAGGUAAAGGCUCACCAAGGCUACGAUCUAUAGCUGGUCUGAGAGGAUGAUCAGCCACACUGGGACUGAGACACGGCCCAGACUCCUACGGGAGGCAGCAGUGGGGAAUCUUGCGCAAUGGGCGAAAGCCUGACGCAGCCAUGCCGCGUGAAUGAUGAAGGUCUUAGGAUUGUAAAAUUCUUUUACCAGGGACGAUAAUGACGGUACCUGGAGAAAAAGCCCCGGCUAACUUCGUGCCAGCAGCCGCCGCAGUAA
rnacentral:rRNA from 1 species